AUGCGGAUCCUUUUUUUCCCUUCUGCAUUUCCUUGCUCUGUCUCUCUUCUAUAUUUGCCAGUGUUUUGGCCUCGCGCUAUGGAAUUAAUUGAGUCCUGCCCCUGGAGGCUCACCUUCCCCACCGACCGACCGCACACAGGAGUGAUACCCUGGGAUGUUUCUGUGAACGAAAGCGGGCAAGUCUUGCUUCCAGGAGUCUCAGCUUCUUUGCACCUUUUUCUGCAAAGCAUGCUUUUUGGGCUUCGUGGUGGGUCAUCUCUGCACCCUUCUGCGCCAGCAAGUGAGCAGACAUCAGCCAUGAGUGUGACACUGCCAACAGCAGGACAGCUUGUCUUCACCCUUUUCAUCCCCAGACAGCAAUGUGUGAAGGCUGUAGUAGAGUGAUAAAGUGUUUCCCAAAGGGUCAGUAGUGGCUGUCUGCAUCACAAAGUAUCAUUACAACACCUCUUUAUGUAAUGUACGGUAUGUAUUUCAGAAGACCUCUAUUAGCUAAAGUGCUAUGUAUGUGAAGAUAAAUGAUAAUUUAAUAGGAAAGGAGCAUAUUGCUUGAAUCAUGCUGCUCACAGUUCAAUAUUAAACGGCAUCAUAGAUCUACUGUAUGUUAGGUUCACCUCAGGUCUGAAUUAAAACUCUGCAGCUUUAUGCUUGUAGUUAAAUUUAUACCAAUUUCAGACUAUCAAUAACUACAGAACCAGAAAGAAACGUGAAUAGGAAGUACACUAAAAGAAAGAUUUCUAUCAUCUUAAUUCUAUGAAUUUGUGGUUAUUAUCUGAACAUCUUAAAUUUCGCUUUAGAGUUCCACUUAGGUAUUUACUUUAACUUGUUGUGCAAAGCAUGUGGAUAUCAGUAGUUUGAUUAAAGGAGAAAGAGGCAUUAACCCAAACUUUAAUGACCAAGACUACUUGGUCAUUAAAGAACUCAUGGCAUCAUUGGAAUGUUAAUCCUGUUGUCCUUGUCCUGGCUAAUUCUACUUAGGGACUGCACAAUUCCCUAAAACACAGUUGGUGAACAGUUUCUCUCUUCUCUAUCUGAUCUGCUGCACAUUGGAGCUGCUGACACACAAUGGCUGCCACUUGUCACCCAGGUGGGUGCAGAGCUUCUCUCUUUGGUUCAGUACUAUAUGUGAAGCAUUUUGGGUUUAAAGAAUGUUCAUUUAAUGGGGCAUAUUUUAUGCCUUUAUUUACCCAAAAUAACAAACGUUAUUCCCCAAAAUUCGCUGCAGGAUUAGGUGUUUCCAAGCCUGUGUCUGGCUCCAGGGUGAGAGAGCCUGUUCAUUUGACUGAUAAAGCAUGGAUGCAGAGGAAAAUAAAUAUUUCUAUAUAUAAUACACACAUCUGUGUAUCUAGGUGCUUCUGCACUGUAGUAAUUAGAUCAUGCAGGAUAGUGAACUUGUUUUUAGGCAAAGGAUGUACAGUUUAGAUGAUUUUUUCAGACUCUGUUUCACUGGCUGGAUUAUAAAGUUCACUGGCGGCCAAAAGGAAAAUUGACUUUUCCCAGGCUUCAAGUGAGAUAGAUGGCCAUUAUUUGAAAGCCGCCUCAUCAGUAUAAUCACCUGAAUAUUACAUCUGCUUCCAUGACCACUGAUUCUUAUAUCUUAUAUCUGUAUUUUUUUGUAGCUAUGAAGUCACCCUGACAGCAUGGGAUUCAUUGUACUGUAAAUAUUUGUUUCAAAUGCAGUGUAUUUUAUUUGACUGAAACGGUACAGAUGAAGUGUUUAAAGAUGAUUCCUACUGAUGAGUAGUAAAAAUAAAAAGAUACUUUUUAUUCCUGUU
rnacentral:lncRNA from 1 species